rnacentral:rRNA from 1 species
AGAACGAACGCUGGCGGCAUGCCUAACACAUGCAAGUCGAACGAGACCUUCGGGUCUAGUGGCGCACGGGUGCGUAACGCGUGGGAACCUGCCCUUAGGUUCGGAAUAACUCCUCGAAAGGGGUGCUAAUACCGGAUGAUGUCUUCGGACCAAAGAUUUAUCGCCUAUGGAUGGGCCCGCGUUGGAUUAGCUAGUUGGUGAGGUAAAGGCUCACCAAGGCGACGAUCCAUAGCUGGUCUUAGAGGAUGAUCAGCCACACUGGGACUGAGACACGGCCCAGACCUCCUACGGGAGGCAGCAGGUGGGGAAUAGUUGGACAAGUGGGACGAAAGCCUGAUCCAGCAAGUGACCGCGUGAGUGAUGAAGGCUUAGGUGUAAAGUCGUCUUUACCGGGAUAGAUAA